GGUUAAGCGACUAAGCGUACACGGUGGAUGCCCUGGCAGUCAGAGGCGAUGAAGGACGUGCUAAUCUGCGAUAAGCGUCGGUAAGGUGAUAUGAACCGUUAUAACCGGCGAUUUCCGAAUGGGGAAACCCAGUGUGUUUCGACACACUAUCAUUAACUGAAUCCAUAGGUUAAUGAGGCGAACCGGGGGAACUGAAACAUCUAAGUACCCCGAGGAAAAGAAAUCAACCGAGAUUCCCCCAGUAGCGGCGAGCGAACGGGGAGCAGCCCAGAGCCUGAAUCAGUGUGUGUGUUAGUGGAAGCGUCUGGAAAGGCGUGCGAUACAGGGUGACAGCCCCGUACACAAAAAUGCACAUGCUGUGAGCUCGAUGAGUAGGGCGGGACACGUGGUAUCCUGUCUGAAUAUGGGGGGACCAUCCUCCAAGGCUAAAUACUCCUGACUGACCGAUAGUGAACCAGUACCGUGAGGGAAAGGCGAAAAGAACCCCGGCGAGGGGAGUGAAAAAGAACCUGAAACCGUGUACGUACAAGCAGUGGGAGCACGCUUAGGCGUGUGACUGCGUACCUUUUGUAUAAUGGGUCAGCGACUUAUAUUCUGUAGCAAGGUUAACCGAAUAGGGGAGCCGAAGGGAAACCGAGUCUUAACUGGGCGUUAAGUUGCAGGGUAUAGACCCGAAACCCGGUGAUCUAGCCAUGGGCAGGUUGAAGGUUGGGUAACACUAACUGGAGGACCGAACCGACUAAUGUUGAAAAAUUAGCGGAUGACUUGUGGCUGGGGGUGAAAGGCCAAUCAAACCGGGAGAUAGCUGGUUCUCCCCGAAAGCUAUUUAGGUAGCGCCUCGUGAAUUCAUCUCCGGGGGUAGAGCACUGUUUCGGCAAGGGGGUCAUCCCGACUUACCAACCCGAUGCAAACUGCGAAUACCGGAGAAUGUUAUCACGGGAGACACACGGCGGGUGCUAACGUCCGUCGUGAAGAGGGAAACAACCCAGACCGCCAGCUAAGGUCCCAAAGUCAUGGUUAAGUGGGAAACGAUGUGGGAAGGCCCAGACAGCCAGGAUGUUGGCUUAGAAGCAGCCAUCAUUUAAAGAAAGCGUAAUAGCUCACUGGUCGAGUCGGCCUGCGCGGAAGAUGUAACGGGGCUAAACCAUGCACCGAAGCUGCGGCAGCGACGCUGAUGCGUUGUUGGGUAGGGGAGCGUUCUGUAAGCCUGCGAAGGUGUGCUGUGAGGCAUGCUGGAGGUAUCAGAAGUGCGAAUGCUGACAUAAGUAACGAUAAAGCGGGUGAAAAGCCCGCUCGCCGGAAGACCAAGGGUUCCUGUCCAACGUUAAUCGGGGCAGGGUGAGUCGACCCCUAAGGCGAGGCCGAAAGGCGUAGUCGAUGGGAAACAGGUUAAUAUUCCUGUGCUUGGUGUUACUGCGAAGGGGGGACGGAGAAGGCUAUGUUGGCCGGGCGACGGUUGUCCCGGUUUAAGCGUGUAGGCUGGUUUUCCAGGCAAAUCCGGAAAAUCAAGGCUGAGGCGUGAUGACGAGGCACUACGGUGCUGAAGCAACAAAUGCCCUGCUUCCAGGAAAAGCCUCUAAGCAUCAGGUAACAUCAAAUCGUACCCCAAACCGACACAGGUGGUCAGGUAGAGAAUACCAAGGCGCUUGAGAGAACUCGGGUGAAGGAACUAGGCAAAAUGGUGCCGUAACUUCGGGAGAAGGCACGCUGAUAUGUAGGUGAAGUCCCUCGCGGAUGGAGCUGAAAUCAGUCGAAGAUACCAGCUGGCUGCAACUGUUUAUUAAAAACACAGCACUGUGCAAACACGAAAGUGGACGUAUACGGUGUGACGCCUGCCCGGUGCCGGAAGGUUAAUUGAUGGGGUCAGCGCAAGCGAAGCUCUUGAUCGAAGCCCCGGUAAACGGCGGCCGUAACUAUAACGGUCCUAAGGUAGCGAAAUUCCUUGUCGGGUAAGUUCCGACCUGCACGAAUGGCGUAAUGAUGGCCAGGCUGUCUCCACCCGAGACUCAGUGAAAUUGAACUCGCUGUGAAGAUGCAGUGUACCCGCGGCAAGACGGAAAGACCCCGUGAACCUUUACUAUAGCUUGACACUGAACAUUGAGCCUUGAUGUGUAGGAUAGGUGGGAGGCUUUGAAGUGUGGACGCCAGUCUGCAUGGAGCCGACCUUGAAAUACCACCCUUUAAUGUUU
rnacentral:rRNA from 1 species